rnacentral:rRNA from 1 species
AGAGUUUGAUCAUGGCUCAGAAUCAACGCUGGCGGCGUGCCUCAGACAUGCAAGUCGAACGAUUAAGACUCUCUUCGGAGAGUGUAUAGAGUGGCGCACGGGUGAGUAACACGUAGGUAAUUUGCCUUCGGGUGGGGAAUAACUUGGGGAAACCCAAGCUAAUACCGCAUAAUGCAGCGGCACCAAAUGGUGACAGUUGUUAAAGCUUUAUGUGCCUGAAGAGAAGCCUGCGGUGGAUUAGGUAGUUGGUAAGGUAAUGGCUUACCAAGCCUGCGAUCCAUAUCCGGUCUUAGAGGACGGUCGGACACACUGACACUGAAUAACGGGUCAGACUCCUACGGGAGGCAGCAGUGGGGAAUUUUCCGCAAUGGGCGAAAGCCUGACGGAGCAAGACCGCGUGGGGGAAGAAGGCUCUUGGGUUGUAAACCCCUUUUCUCUGGGAAGAAAGUUGUGAAAGCAACCUGACGGUACCAGAGGAAUCAGCAUCGGCUAACUCCGUGCCAGCAGCCGCGGUAAGACGGAGGAUGCAAGCGUUAUCCGGAAUGAUUGGGCGUAAAGCGUCCGCGGGUGGCAGUUCAAGUCUGCUGUCAAAGACCGGGGCUUAACUUCGGAAAGGCAGUGGAAACUGAACAGCUAGAGUAUGGUAGGGGCAGAGGGAAUUCCUGGUGUAGCGGUGAAAUGCGUAGAGAUCAGGAAGAACAUCGGUGGCGAAGGCGCUCUGCUGGACCAUAACUGACACUCAGGGACGAAAGCUAGGGGAGCGAAUGGGAUUAGAUACCCCAGUAGUCC